CUCUCUCUCGCCUAUACAGUUUUUAUUUUCUAUGCUGCUGGUGAAUUUAUCAUCUCUAUUUUGUACUUUAUGCAAUAUUGGUGAGCAAAGAGCGAAGUCCUUUAAUUGAUAUCCAUUUAAUUGGCAUAUCUAAUUUAAGGAAACUAUUAAGUUAAAUUACGCUGUAAGAUUUGACCGUAUCUUUCAGUUUAGCGACCAUGAAUGAUAAUUUUUUUGGAGACCAUUGUUUCUAAAUAUAACAAAGUUGCAAAAGCAAUAUUAAGGAAAUCUGGACUAGUGCUUUCUUAAGUUAGAAUUAUUUUCAGAUUUUUGAUAUUCUCUAAACCCAGAAGUGGUUUUUGUGAUUUCAAAUUGGGGUCCUGUGGGACAAAUGAAAACCUAUGCAUGGUUAUUGAGAAUUGAUGAUUCGAAAGAUAAUGUUCCAUGGUUCUAUUUAAUAUAAUUGGGGCCCCUUUUUCAAUCAAAUUAUGCUAGUCAUAUGAUUUUGCACAGAUGAAAAUCUGUGAGUUGAUAGUGUUAUGACUUUGGAUCUAUGAACUGAUUAGGUAAAUUGUUCUUCCUUGUUGGUUCACCACUGUUCCUGUCAGUUUGGCCUGAGUCUUGCAUUUCUAACUUGGAAUUGCUUCUUUGUGUCAUCCAGUCCAACUCAUUUUUUGCCAGUGUUCUGUUUUGAUUUUGAGGUUAAUGAUUAGAGGGUUCUUAAGCUUGUUGUUAGCAUCAUUUGGUUAGCCACUUCUAGAGAUAAAGGCAGAAUUCUUUGAAAUGAAUGUCUCUCAUGGAGUUCCAUGUUAGGUUCCAGUUCACCAGAAUCUCAGGUCUUCAUAACAUUAUUGAGAAUUACAUGCAUUCUGCAGGGCUAAAGGAUGCUAAUGGUAGUGCAGAAUGAUGUAUAGCUUCACCAUUCCCUUUGAUAUAAAUGUGAUUUUUCUUCUCUGUUCAUAUUGACAUGCAUGGUUAGGCUACCUCAGUCCUCAAGUAUCUAUUUAGUUUUUGCAGGCAGGACUAUGCACUUAUGUUACCUAGUGUUCCACAUGUUGAAAUGCCAUAUAUUUAAGCAUUUAUGCUUUGCCUGCAUGUGAAUGAAUUGACUUGAAUACCCCAUCUCUAUCCUCAGGAGCUCUUUCUUUCUUCUUCAUCAGAAUAGGUGGGGAAGGCCAUCAACCCUUCCCAUCAUCUCCACCCUGUAGGAAUUAUGGGAUCAGCCUAAGGUUGCCUUUUGCAUCCAGCUAAAAUAUAUAAAUUCAGCUCUCUUUAUUUGUGAGAGUGUUGAACAUGCUGUAACCAAGCCCAUUUUUCUAGUGCUGCAAUUAGCUUUUUGAAUUUUGGACAGUUUCGAAGUCAACUACCACUAAUUUUAUAUCUAUUCCUUGAGUAAAGGCUAGAAACAUAAUUAUCCAGGGGUUUAGAGUUGUGUGUCGGACUAGAUAAAAUAUUUAUUCUUGUUAAGAAUUUAAGAAUUAGAAAAAUAAGAAAGAAAGAAAGAAAGAAAGGAAAAAGAAGCCUCUAUUGAAGAACAUUGGGUUGUAAAUGCUCUAAACAUUCAGAGACAAUGACAUUAAAUCCAUCUUCAUGAGAGCAAAAUUUAGAGAUGAGCAUUUGACAGAGGUCUGGUGACAAGGAAAUACCUCAAAUUUGUCUCGGAAAGUGUAAAUUCAUUUUGGCAUUGCCAUAUGUCUGGAUCAUUCACUACAAGUCUACAACAUAUUUGAAAAUUAAGAAGGAAAUAAGGAGGCUACCAUCAAAUAAGAAAAUACUAAAAUUUACCAGUCCGACCCAUCGGGAAAAGGUUUCAGUGCAUCUUGCUUCCCAUUAACAUAGAAUUCCACAAUCGCUUUCAUUCUUGGAAGCUUAUCAGGGUGGUAAUUCACGUGAACAAUUACAGGCUUGAUCUUGAUCCAGUUAGCAUCUUUCCUCACAGUUUUGAAAAGGACUUUGCUGUUCAUGAAGAGAUAGAAAUCCAUCGUUCUCCUGGAAGCAUGAAGUCCAUCAUACCCAGGAUGCGAAGGGAAAAAGAGUUCCUCAUUGAAAACUGCCUGGUCCCAGGCCUUCUCACGAGAGAGCCUAUUGGCUACACGAUCCAAAAGCUCGAUUGAAGGAAUUGUUGCUCUAAGGUAGAAAAAGCCAGAGUUGUAAACCCAUAUCCUCAUUGUAUGAGCAUAUCGAGCCCAACCCAUUGGAGGCUCAUCGAAGACAUCAUCAUAACCAUAUGCUGUUAAAUUGUUAUGACCAUCAGUCAUGGAUUCCACAUCUGAAUCCCGAUAAAGGUAAUCAAAAGGGUUUUGCAAAUACACAAUAUCAGCAUCUGAGAGAAGAACACUAUAUCCCAACUGCAAGAACUCUCUCAAGAUACGAAAUUUCAAUGCUGAGACAGCAUGGUUGCCUCCAGUCUUUCCUACUGAAUCAAUUCCUUCAUCUGGAUCUCUCUUAUACACAGGAACAUCAUUGGAUUCACAAAAGUUAGCAAUCUCAUCAUCCAAAGCAACAACCAAAUAAUUGGGUAUACCCACUUUCUUGAUGCUAUUAAACCAAACUUCCAGCAUUUCUUUUACAUUAGAAUUUGCUAAAGCAACUAUAAUUUCUCUUUGAACAGCAACUUUCUCUAGUGUCUUUGCUAAUCUUGGAUUCACAGAUUCAUCUGGGAUAAUUGUUGGAUUGGUUCUCAAACUCUUAACGGUGCCAAAAGGCCCAGCUUUAUGCUGUUCACCCAACACCACUACUUGCUCCUCUGCUUGAUCUUUCCCCUGUCUAGCCCAUCUAAGUUUUUCAGUCAGCUCCUUAACCUGUUUCUUCAAAUCGACAUUCUUCUUUGAUGCUGCUGCAAACUCUGCUUUCAACAUGUUCAGCCUCUCAGACGAUUCACAUGGUGUUGAUACCACCUGGGCAAUGGAAUUGGAGAGGUGGGGAGAGUGAAAAUUAGGAUUGGAAAGAAAGAAUCCGUGAGGGAAAAAGAAGGCGAAGACACAUCCAAGGAAAAUCCCAACAGCUAUUGCGAUAGUGAUUCUCCAAUUGCGCAGUGAGUGCGCAGAUGUGCUGUGUCUCAUCAAAGGUAGCUCUCUGCGCCCAGACAUCCUUGGUGUUCCUCAAAUGCAUAGAAACAAAAUCACGUCUCUCUAAUGGUUUUUUGCAUACACAAAAAUACACAUUUGGUUGACUCUGAAGUCAGCGUGGUUGCUGGUGCCUGGCGGUGGUAGUGGUG
rnacentral:misc_RNA from 1 species